AUUGAACGCUGGCGGCAUGCUUUACACAUGCAAGUCGAACGGCAGCGCGGGCUUCGGCCUGGCGGCGAGUGGCGAACGGGUGAGUAAUACAUCGGAACGUGCCCAGUAGUGGGGGAUAGCUCGGCGAAAGCCGGAUUAAUACCGCAUACGACCUGAGGGUGAAAGCGGGGGAUCUUCGGACCUCGCGCUAUUGGAGCGGCCGAUGGCAGAUUAGCUAGUUGGUGGGGUAAAGGCCUACCAAGGCGACGAUCUGUAGCUGGUCUGAGAGGACGACCAGCCACACUGGGACUGAGACACGGCCCAGACUCCUACGGGAGGCAGCAGUGGGGAAUUUUGGACAAUGGGCGAAAGCCUGAUUCAGCAAUGCCGCGUGUGUGAUGAAGCCCUUCGGGUUGUAAAGCACUUUUGGCGGGAACGAAAAGGACUGUGCCAAUACCACGGUUCGAUGACGGUACCCGCAGAAUAAGCACCGGCUAACUACGUGCCAGCCGCCGCCGUAA
rnacentral:rRNA from 1 species